UUUAUGGAGAGUUUGAUCCUGGCUCAGGAUGAACGCUGGCGGCGUGCCUAAUACAUGCAAGUCGAGCGAACGGACGAGAAGCUUGCUUCUCUGAUGUUAGCGGCGGACGGGUGAGUAACACGUGGAUAACCUACCUAUAAGACUGGGAUAACUUCGGGAAACCGGAGCUAAUACCGGAUAAUAUUUUGAACCGCAUGGUUCAAAAGUGAAAGACGGUCUUGCUGUCACUUAUAGAUGGAUCCGCGCUGCAUUAGCUAGUUGGUAAGGUAACGGCUUACCAAGGCAACGAUGCAUAGCCGACCUGAGAGGGUGAUCGGCCACACUGGAACUGAGACACGGUCCAGACUCCUACGGGAGGCAGCAGUAGGGAAUCUUCCGCAAUGGGCGAAAGCCUGACGGAGCAACGCCGCGUGAGUGAUGAAGGUCUUCGGAUCGUAAAACUCUGUUAUUAGGGAAGAACAUAUGUGUAAGUAACUGUGCACAUCUUGACGGUACCUAAUCAGAAAGCCACGGCUAACUACGUGCCAGCAGCCGCGGUAAUACGUAGGUGGCAAGCGUUAUCCGGAAUUAUUGGGCGUAAAGCGCGCGUAGGCGGUUUUUUAAGUCUGAUGUGAAAGCCCACGGCUCAACCGUGGAGGGUCAUUGGAAACUGGAAAACUUGAGUGCAGAAGAGGAAAGUGGAAUUCCAUGUGUAGCGGUGAAAUGCGCAGAGAUAUGGAGGAACACCAGUGGCGAAGGCGACUUUCUGGUCUGUAACUGACGCUGAUGUGCGAAAGCGUGGGGAUCAAACAGGAUUAGAUACCCUGGUAGUCCACGCCGUAAACGAUGAGUGCUAAGUGUUAGGGGUUUCCGCCCCUUAGUGCUGCAGCUAACGCAUUAAGCACUCCGCCUGGGGAGUACGACCGCAAGGUUGAAACUCAAAGGAAUUGACGGGGACCCGCACAAGCGGUGGAGCAUGUGGUUUAAUUCGAAGCAACGCGAAGAACCUUACCAAAUCUUGACAUCCUUUGACAACUCUAGAGAUAGAGCCUUCCUCUUCGGGGACAAAGUGACAGGUGGUGCAUGGUUGUCGUCAGCUCGUGUCGUGAGAUGUUGGGUUAAGUCCCGCAACGAGCGCAACCCUUAAGCUUAGUUGCCAUCAUUAAGUUGGGCACUCUAAGUUGACUGCCGGUGACAAACCGGAGGAAGGUGGGGAUGACGUCAAAUCAUCAUGCCCCUUAUGAUUUGGGCUACACACGUGCUACAAUGGACAAUACAAAGGGCAGCGAAACCGCGAGGUCAAGCAAAUCCCAUAAAGUUGUUCUCAGUUCGGAUUGUAGUCUGCAACUCGACUACAUGAAGCUGGAAUCGCUAGUAAUCGUAGAUCAGCAUGCUACGGUGAAUACGUUCCCGGGUCUUGUACACACCGCCCGUCACACCACGAGAGUUUGUAACACCCGAAGCCGGUGGAGUAACCUUUUAGGAGCUAGCCGUCGAAGGUGGGACAAAUGAUUGGGGUGAAGUCGUAACAAGGUAGCCGUAUCGGAAGGUGCGGCUGGAUCACCUCCUUUCU
rnacentral:rRNA from 1 species